GAUGAAGAACGUAGCGAAAUGCGAUAAGUAAUGUGAAUUGCAGAAUUCAGUGAAUCAUCGAAUCUUUGAACGCACAUUGCGCCCGCCAGUAUUCUGGCGGGCAUGCCUGUUCGAGCGUCAUUUCAACCAUCAAGCCCCCGGGCUUGUGUUGGGGACCUGCGGCUGCCGCAGGCCCUGAAAAGCAGUGGCGGGCUCGCUGUCACACCGAGCGUAGUAGAUUUUAUCUCGCUCAGGGCGUGCUGCGGGUUCCGGCCGUUAAACCACCUUCAUAACCCAAGGUUGACCUCGGAUCAGGUAGGAAGACCCGCUGAACUUAAGCAUAUCAAAUAAGCGGAGGA
rnacentral:misc_RNA from 1 species